GGAGCUGUAGCUGAAAUGGAUUAGUAUCUGGUUGAAACCCAGAAGAUGUUGGAUCGUUACCAACCGGCUCCA
rnacentral:tRNA from 1 species